UAAACACCUCACAAAUUUUCGUGAAGAACAAUGCAAGUUGUUCAUCAUCGAAUGCGGCAACAACGACAACGCAAACAUAUGCAUCUCAAAGCACACGAAAGCGUAAACGGACUGAGAGAAAACCGUGGGAAACAGAAGAGAAAAAUGCGGUGUUUGAGGUGUUUUCCAAACAUAUACGGGAAAAAACACACUUCAGAAGAAGGACGAAUGUGUUCAGUUCUUAGAGAGGAACAAAGACACUAUCAAGGAGCGUGAGUGAACGCAUGUCAAAGACUUUGUUCGUAUGUGCUGGCUAAGAGGCGAAAAAAAGUUGUCUUCGCGCUGAGAUCUUUAUUUGAUGUGGAGAGUUAUAGCCUUUCU